AAUAUCCGGAACGCAACUGUCAAACUUCAUUACGUUUUUUUGUGCGCAAGCCGUCACAGUAAAAUUUUGUUUCAUUUUAUAAAAAUGAAAAUUUCAUUUAAAAACACGUGUAUUAAUUACUAAUACUAAGUUUUAAUAUCAUGUUUCACUGGAAAUUGAAUAAAUAGUUGGCUAAAUCAAGUGCUACAAGCUUAUAAAUGCAAAGGAAAUCUCACAAUGACGAGUGCAUUAAAGGUACAUAAAUGGAUUGAAUUCUUACUAACGUUCAAGGGGUAAGUGAUACAUUGCAUAUAAAUGUGUUUUUGGUAGUCAAACCAAGAUAUUAACGUUGUUUUAUCAAAGAAUAUCAUAAAAUAUUGUGUAUGAACCGGUUUAGAGGUUAUGUUUAUGUUAUGUUUAGGCAUUGCAACCUGUUUGUACAUGUCAACAUGACAUGAGUGUUUUUCUAAACGAAAAAGCGGUUUUUUUGUUAGGUUCGCUAAAUUCGUACACUAGUCAUUUCCGUUUCCUGAAAAAUCUUUCUCAUUGUACCUACGGUUCGCGCGUGUUUAUUCUCUCUUGUGUUUGCGUUGCAAAAAUCACUGUCUUAAAAUUGUGAAGUGAAAAUGGGGAAAAGAAAAAGAUCAGAUUCCUAUUUCCAUGAAGAUUUGUGGAAGAAAUUAAAAAAAACUGGAAAGAAGAUUGAAGAAAUGUGAAGGCAGAACUGAUAGAGACAGAGAGUCAAGUUCAGGGACUCCUCCUCCUUCUCCUGUUGAAUGUACUGAAGACUGGACAGGUAAUAUUGUUUAACCAAAUCAUCCUACCUACUUCAAACGACUGGAUAACUGUGGUAGACUUAGUACCUAUUAAACUAGUGUACAGGCCCAAUACUAAUUUUUGACUUAGCGCUACCACUAGCAAGUAGACAAUGUCAGUUAUAUACAUUUCAGCGCUAUCACCUAGUGGAUAGACAGUGUCAGAUAUAUACUUACAUUUCAGCGCUAUCACCUAGCGGAUGGACAUUUUAUUCUUACUUUCCUACUUCAAACGACUGGAUAACUGUGGUAGAUUUAGUACCUAUUAAACUAGUGUACAGGCCCAAUACUAAUUUUUGACUUAGCACUACCACUAGCAAGUAGACAAUGUCAGUUAUAUACAUUUCAGCGCUAUCACCUAGCGGAUAGACAGUGUCAGAUAUAUACUUACAUUUCAGCGCUAUCACCUAGCGGAUAGACAGUGUCAGAUAUAUACUUACAUUUCAGCGCUAUCACCUAGCGGAUAGACAGUGUCAGAUAUAUACUUACAUUUUAGCGCUAUCACCUAGCGGAUAGACAUUUUAUUCUUACUUUACUACUUCAAACGACUGGAUAACUGUGGUAGAUUUAGUACUUAUUAAACUAGUGUACAGGCCCAAUACUAAUUUUUGACUUAGCGCUAUCACCUAGCGGAUAGACAGUGUCAGAUAUAUACAUUUCAGCGCUAUCACCUAGCGGAUAGACAUUUUAUUCUUACAGUUACAAAAGACAUUACCAAAACAAUCUACAACCACAGCCUGACAGAAAUGUUUGUUUCCUAAAUAAAUAAAAUCAUAUAGUAGUAUGAGAAAUGAAUAACAUUUUUUUUUUAAAUAUUAUUUACAGUCGAAGAUAUCCCAGAGGAGCUUCUGUUAGCCCUGGGCAAGGAAGGUGAGAAGGAAAACAUUGUUGGCGGGGAGAUAAAGCAGCAGCUGACAGAACGGUGGACAAACAUCAUUCAUCAGGGACUUGGAAAAGAGGCCAGAGAAAAUUUAACAACAAAAUACCCCUCGCCAACAAAUUUUAUGGCAGCUGUACCGCCUGUCUUGACUGAAGCGAUAGCAGCUGCUAUGAAUGAAGCCAGUAAGAGGCAAGACAAACGAAUAGUUUUCUGUCAGGCGUUAAUAGCUAAACGACUCUGCUAAAUUUGCCGCAGAAGUACUUCAAGCCCAAGCUCCAGCCGACAACCCCGAGACAAAUAUCGCCGAUACUAGAGGUACAUGCCAGUAAACUGAAAUAUUUUUCUCAUAACUGGUUAAAAAUUACCAAUGACCCGGUAAUCUUACAAUGGGUUCAGGGAUACAAUAUCCCACUUAAUUUUUUCCCUCCAGAGCAUACAGGACCCCAUCAGUCUUGGUCUAACAAAGAAAAAGAAAUUAUUUAAUCGGGAAUAGAAAAAUUAAUAAAUUUAGGUGCUAUAUAUCAAUGUGAAUAUGUAGUGGGCCAGUUUAUAUCACCAAUAUUUGUAAUUCCAAAACCAAAUGGUACAUUCAUGUUUAUAUUGAAUUUAAAAGAAUUAAAUCAAUACAUUGAUACAUGUCAUUUCAAAUUAGAAGACAUAAGAACAGCAUGUAAAUUAAUUACUCAAUACUGGUAUAUGGCAAAAUUAGAUUUGAAGGAUGCAUACUUUAGUGUGGCUAUUUCAAAUGAAUCAAAAAAGUUUUUGAGGUUUAAAUUUGACAAUAAGUUGUAUGAAUUUAACUGCUUACCUUUUGGGUUUAUGCACAGCUCCUUUUGUAUUCACAAAACUUAUGAAACCAAUAUGUACUUACCUUAAUGUUAAAAAUAUUGCCCUGACAUCUUACUUAGACGAUAUACAUAAUAUAUUUUAACUCAUCAAAAGAACUAUGUAGGAAGGAUAUGGAGAUUUCGUGCACUUUGUUUCAAGAUCUAGGUUUUAUCAUUAACUUUGAAAAGAGUAUUUUCACACCAAAAGAGACAUGUACUUACCUGGGCAUAAUUAUAGAUUCAAGAUCAAUGUCAUUAUCAGUACCUCUAGAAAAACAAUUAUCUAUAAUAGAAAAAGUUAAUUAUUUUAAGAGAAUUAGGUCUUGUAAAAUAAGGAAAUUUUCUUAACUGUUAGGAAAAUUUACUACAGUUUGUCCAGCUAUACCCUAUUCAUGGGUAUAUACAAAACUUCUAGAAAGGGAGAGAUAUCUUGCUUUAAUUAAAAAGGAGAACAAUUAUGAUGAAAAAAUGAAAUUAUCAAAAAUAGUUACUUCUGAAUUGGAAUGGUGGACAAAGUACAUAGAUAGAUCUAACCCGAUUCAAAAUUAUAAUUUUUCUCUAGAAAUUCAGACAGAUGCUUCUACCACUGGCUGGGGAGCAGCUUGUGGUACAGAGCGAGCUUCAGGUUCAUGGUCCUCCACUGAGAGGCAAAACCAUAUCAAUUUCUUACAAAUUAAGGCAGCUUAUCUAGGACUUCAAUGUUUUACUAAAGACCUAAGUCAUUGUGAAAUCUUACUCAGAGUGGAUAACACUACCUACAGCAGUAACAUAUAUUAACAAAAUGGGUGGUGUUCAAUUUCCUCAUUUAAACGAAAUGGCUAAGAUCUUUUGGCAAUAUUGCGAGAGAAUAAAUUCAAAAGAAAAUUUUGAAGCUGACUUUGAAUCAAGAAAAAUAAACUAAUGAUGAAAUUGUACAACAAUUUGGCUGCCCAGAAAUCGAUUUAUUUGCCUCUAGAAUUAAUAACAAAUGUAAGAAGUUUGUCUCAUGGAAACAAGAUCCUGAAGCGUUUGCUGUAGAUGCAUUUACUGUUAAAUAUACUCUAUUUAUCUUUUUUUUUAUGCAUUUCCUCCUUUCUCAUUAGUUUUAAAAUGCAUUAGAAAAAUACAAUCUGAUAAAGCAGAAGGUAUCUUGGUAUUUCUUUUAUGGAAAUCCCAAGCCUGGUUCCCCAUGUUACAAUGUCUUCUAGUUGGUAAAAUGUUAAUUUUCGAACCCAAGCAAUAAUAUCAAACAAUAUGAUAGCUCUCUUAAAUUAUGGUGGAGUUUUUGUAAUAGGUUUAAAUUAGAUCCUUUUCAAACUUCAGUCCCAUUUAUAUCAGGUCAUUCAUAUCAUUCAUAUCAUUUGUAUCAGGUGCCUCAUAUGGUACCCUUAAUACCACUAAAUCAGCUAUUACAUUAAUAAUGGGACUGAAAGUUAGUGCAGAUGAUAGAAUAAUAAGAUUCUUAAAAGGUUUGCUUAAAAUGACACCACCUAAACCAAAAUAUAAUAUGACUUGGGACCCGGGCUUAGUAUUAGAAUAUUUAGGUAAAAAUUAUACUAAUGAUAAUUUGGACUUACAAAGGGCUACUAAGAAAUUCGUUAUAAUGUUAGCUCUUACUACGGGACAUAGGGUUCAAACCCUGUCCCUAAUAAAAGUAUCUAAUAUAAAAUUUACACAAAGCGGAGUUCAAAUUAAAAUUCCAGACAUUAUAAAAACGUCAAAUAAAAAUUCAGUUCAACCAAUGUUACAUUUGAAGUCGUUUACGGAAAAAGAAAUUUGCCCGGUAGAAAUCAUAAAAAUUUAUUUAAAUGCCACAGAAAACUUAAGGCAAAACAUUAAUCACCUGAUUUUAACAUUUAAAAAACCAUAUAAAAAGGCUUCAUCUCAAACAAUAAGUCAUGGAUAAAAUCUGUAUUGUGUGAAUCUGGGUCUUAGCAUAGACCUUAUUCGUAAGACCGUUGGAUGGUCUAGAGAUUCUUCUGUAUUUGCUAGGUUUUACAAUAGGCCUAUAAUAGAAGAUCCUUUAUCUUUCUCUGAUACUAUUUGUAAUCGCAUCCUAUCAGUACAAAUAUUUAAGAAAAACUUGUUUCUAGUUAUAAGAAUAUUUGUAAUAUUUUGUAAUAAAUUUGAUUUAUUAUAAAUGGUUUCAUUCACAACUCAUGAAUCUUUAAACAUCUACCAUAGUAAAAACCGUCUCAGACAAGGAGAGAGUAUAAUUAAAUGGUUAAACGAACUUACCUGUAAGUGAAGUUCUACCAUAAUUAUACGAAGCUCCUUGUCUGAGACGGUACCUGUUCCCACCCUACCCACCUCUGACCAAGUCUGAGUUGUUCAUGAAACUUCUUGCUUUAAAAGUAAUGAAGUUUGACAGUUGCGUUCCGGAUAUUGUCGUGUUUUUGUUUUUUUUUUUUUUUUUAGCUUGGAUACAUUGUGAUGGCUACUAGCAUGAAAGCGUAGACUACCAUAGUAAAAACCGUCUCAGACAAGGAGCUUCGUAUAAUUAUGGUAGAACUUCACUUACAG